GGACGAACGCUGGCGGCGUGCCUAAUACAUGCAAGUCGAACGAAGCUUUCUUUCACCGAAUGCUUGCAUUCACCGAAAGAAGCUUAGUGGCGAACGGGUGAGUAACACGUAGGCAACCUGCCCAAAAGAGGGGGAUAACACUUGGAAACAGGUGCUAAUACCGCAUAACCAUGAACACCGCAUGAUGUUCAUGUAAAAGACGGCUUUUGCUGUCACUUUUGGAUGGGCCUGCGGCGUAUUAACUUGUUGGUGGGGUAACGGCCUACCAAGGUGAUGAUACGUAGCCGAACUGAGAGGUUGAUCGGCCACAUUGGGACUGAGACACGGCCCAAACUCCUACGGGAGGCAGCAGUAGGGAAUCUUCCACAAUGGACGAAAGUCUGAUGGAGCAACGCCGCGUGAAUGAAGAAGGCCUUCGGGUCGUAAAAUUCUGUUGUCAGAGAAGAACGUGCGUGAGAGUAACUGUUCACGUAUUGACGGUAUCUGACCAGAAAGCCACGGCUAACUACGUGCCAGCAGCCGCGGUAAUACGUAGGUGGCGAGCGUUGUCCGGAUUUAUUGGGCGUAAAGGGAACGCAGGCGGUCUUUUAAGUCUGAUGUGAAAGCCUUCGGCUUAACCGAAGUAGUGCAUUGGAAACUGGAAGACUUGAGUGCAGAAGAGGAGAGUGGAACUCCAUGUGUAGCGGUGAAAUGCGUAGAUAUAUGGAAGAACACCAGUGGCGAAAGCGGCUCUCUGGUCUGUAACUGACGCUGAGGUUCGAAAGCGUGGGUAGCAAACAGGAUUAGAUACCCUGGUAGUCCACGCCGUAAACGAUGAGUGCUAAGUGUUGGAGGGUUUCCGCCCUUCAGUGCUGCAGCUAACGCAUUAAGCACUCCGCCUGGGGAGUACGGUCGCAAGACUGAAACUC
rnacentral:rRNA from 1 species